rnacentral:lncRNA from 1 species
UUUUUUUUUUUUUCUUUUAAACAGCCAGAGCUAGAUCUCCAUUCUUUCUGUGCGAAGCUAUCUAAUCUUUGGAUAAAAUAACACAGUGGUUUGGACAUCAAGUCUGGGAACUUAAAAAGACCAGGAUUAGAAUUCCAGCUGUGUCUCCUACUAGCCAUGUAAUAACCAUGGAGGCUAUCCAGCCUUGCUGAAGUUCAUUUUCCUCAUAAGCAAAACAGGUAUAGAAUACACACUCACUGGGGUGCUUGAAGGAUUAAAUUAGAUGCUAUACAUAAUGUGCCUAGCACACAGUAAACUCCUAAUAAAUGGUGGGCCGCUGUCAUCAAAUAGAGGUUCCGGGGAAAAAAGGGACUCUGCUCCUUUGUUCACUAAAAAUAAAAUAGUAACAGAACAGAAAUGAUAGUGAUGAUAUCACCUAUUUGCUGAGCAUUGUUCUAGAGACUCUGCAUGUGGCGACUGCUUUAAUCUUCACGACUCUUUGAAGUAGGAACUAAGAAUAUUCCCGUGUGAUAGAUGAAGGAGGAAAGACAAGAUAAAGGAUUUACACAAAGCUACAUAAACACAUGGAAGAGCUGGGAUUCAGCCCAAAGGUCCGGCUCCAGGUCUUCCGCAACACUGCCCUCAGUCCCAAACAACGUCGCUAUCAUGUGACUGACGCCUAGCACGGUGCCUGACACUUCGUGAUCUGUAGAAAAAAGCAAAACUCAGACUCUCACUACCCACUUGCUGAUCUGCCGUCCUAAGCAAUAUGUUCUAACCGGUCCCUGAUAAAUCUCACCUAUUUUCGGGAUGUCGAUCGUAUAAUUUAGGCCCUUCUCUCGGAAGGAAGGUUUCUCGAGGCCUUUCACACAUAGGUAGCAGACACAGCAAUGGAAAUGAAAAGAACCCCGCUCUCAGCCCAGUGAGGGGCAGAGGUAGCAAGACCAGCUUUAAUAUAGAUUCCAAACACUCAUCACUAAUUCAGAAAUGUGGGUCAUUUAGACUCAGAAACUACUACUCAUUUGAAAAGCUAACGGUUUUCUUCGAAGCCAUCAGCGUCCUAUCUUCAGGAAGCCACACAAUGGGCCUCACGGGAACUCUUGGUGAAACACUCCAAAAAGGCAUCAUGCUUUUUAAAGAGCACUUAAUUUUCAUUCUCAAUUGUGUUUGCUAGGUAUGUAUUUGCUCUCUAGCAAAAUUUAAGUGACUCGAAUAAAAAAGCCAAAUAAAACAGUCCUGGUUAUAAAUUCCUUCAACGACAACAACAACAACAACAACAACAAAAAAACUUUCAAUUUUUGAAAUGGCUAAGGCUGACUAGCCCCCAACGAGGGGCAGAAAGUGAAAUACAGAGUUAAGAGGAAUACAAAGGACGCAAACGUAUGAAAACGUCUCCAUCACGCGCCUAGUACAAGAAACGAAAAUUAAAGAUUCAGAAUGGAAAAAUCCAAAAGCUUUAUCAUGUAAUCACUGAACAAGACGACGGGGACAGAGGGGCAUUCUUAAAUUACUGCCAGAAGAGAAAACGGCAUGAAAUUCAACUUGUCAGCGGCUGUCAGAAUUCCAAACGUGCAACUCUCACCAAUUAUCCUGCUUGCAGGAACAAAUUCCACACAUACACCUGCACACGUGUAACGUAAAAUAAUUCUGUACGGGUGACUCGCCGUGACAUCGUAAUAGCAAACGAUCAAUGCCCAUCGAUAGGUGACAUUAUACAGCUGAAUCCCACGUAACUGUAAAGAAAUAAAAAGAAGGUAUCCAUCCCAGUUACAGAAAUAUCUCCCAGUUACACUGUUAAGUAUAAAAAGCAAGAUUCAGAUAGCACACCUGAUGUACGACACCUUACAGGCUGAAAGCCAGGUAUGCGCCAGUUAUAAAUACGUGAAUACACAUACACAUAUUUGCAUCCAUAGGCACAAAAAAUAGGGAAGGACACAGAAGAGAAAGGGCAACGAUUACAGGGAAUGCUGAGAGGACACUAGGUAGAUGAGGUACAGACCUACAAAUAUGGGAGCCAAAUUUUUCAGGGAGAAGUUUGCACAAACUGAAGAACGUAAAAGUUUUCUUAAGAGGACAGUAUUUUGCAUGAACAUAUCCCACGCAUGAGUCUGCUUCCGUGGAGAUGAUCCAAAUGCCACAACUGCCAUAAGCGACAGCGCCUUUUCACCUUGCUCUGUCCUCAUAAAUGAGCCGUAUGAGUACAAAAGCCUUCCAAUCUAUUGCAGCUCAAAAGUAGCAUUAAGAGAGCUUGAAAUAAAAUUGAUUUUCUGGCAUAUGAAGUUUAAGCUCGCUUCUAUCUCAAAGAGGUGGACACUUCGAGUGGCCUCCAAGUCAGCCUACAUGACGAAUCCACCCCUUACCCUACACAGGCUGCUCUCCUCAGCAGGGAAAGCUCAAAACCUAAGCUUUUAGAGCAACUGGACAUCUUUUAAGUAAAUCAAUUCUUCUUUGGAAGAUCCUGUGAGCAUGAUUCUUUCCACCUACGUGGCUGCUGUCUGGUACCUACAUGUGAAAGGACUCAAGAAACAGUCUUUUCCAGAGAAGGCUUCUAUGGCUCCGGAGAAUGAGCCUUGCUCAUCUUUAGCUUUUUCCCCUAUGGUGUAGGGUGAAGACAAGAAGGCAUCUUGGCUAACAGGAACACUGGUUUAAAAAAAAAAAAAAAAAGGAACACUGGUUUACGUGCAGGUAGGCCAAAAAAAUUAUUCCUAUUCUCUCCUGGAGGAGUAAAAACAGGGAACUUGGAAAUGGAUUUCUUUAAGUGUCAAAAAAAAUUGUUUAAAGGGAAAUAAAACAGAUUGGGAAGAUUCUUAUUAAACUUCUAAGCCGAUCACACAUAAACAUCCCCGACCUGUCAGCGGCAUCCUCCACAUUUACAGGGAAAAGCACGAACAAAACUGGCCUGACAAGCACAAGGUCAUGUCUCCUGUCUACACCUCUUCCCUGCCCACUUCUGCUCCUAAACUCACAUUAAGAGGGUAACUCUUUUCUGCAGAUGAGUAACUACAUGUUUCUGGUGCAGCGUUAUGCAUCUGGCGGCUUCUCGAUAAAACGUCUUUUGUGAUGUUCCUUGUACUUGGGAAACAUCUGUGCCCGCACCAUACAACAUUCCACAGAAGAGAAAAAUACCCUAAUGUGCAGUUUCUUCCAAUGACAUCCACAGCCAGGCUCAGAGCAGAGCCAACACCAGCACUCUCUCCUCCUCCUAACAGGCACCCGGGAGCGGGCUUUUUCUGAGGCUCAUCCCACAACUAACUUCCAAUAGGAUCCUUCCCCAGCCCCAUCAGGAAACUCACUUGGUACCAACUGGUAACCUACCACCAGUCUAAUAUUAUUUCUGCAUGAAUAAAACUCUAAAUUCUUUAGCUAAAAUUCUUUAGUUCAGUAGGCUUUUCCCAAAUAAGCUAACGACAAAUCCACCAAGGUUAACUGCACAGGAUAAACGCACAGGCUGCAGACGCUGCAUUUUAGUAGGUCAUAAGACAAAGUCUUGUCAAAAUCAAUCAACUCACCACACUAUGACAAGGCCACCAAGCUGCAGCCUACACUGAUCUCCCACUUCCAAAUCCUCUUCUCCGUAAGCUUUGGAACACUGCAGUCAACAGGCAUAAAUAUCUGAACCUCGUCGAAAACUAUAAUUCA